UACGUAGGGUGCGAGCGUUGUCCGGAAUUAUUGGGCGUAAAGGGCUCGUAGGCGGUUUGUCGCGUCGGGAGUGAAAACCUCGGGCUUAACUCGGGGCUUGCUUUCGAUACGGGCAGACUAGAGGUAUGCAGGGGAGAACGGAAUUCCUGGUGUAGCGGUGAAAUGCGCAGAUAUCAGGAGGAACACCGAUGGCGAAGGCAGGUCUCUGGGCAUUAACUGACGCUGAGGAGCGAAAGCAUGGGGAGCGAACAGG
rnacentral:rRNA from 1 species